rnacentral:rRNA from 1 species
AUUGAACGCUGGCGGCAGGCCUAACACAUGCCAUUCGAGCGGAUGAAGGGAGCUUGCUCCUGGUUUCCGCGGCGGACGGGUGAGUAAUGCCUAGGAAUCUGCCUGGUAGUGGGGGAUAACGUCCGCAAACGGGCGCUAAUACCGCAUACGUCCUGAGGGAGAAAGUGGGGGAUCUUCGGACCUCACGCUAUCAGAUGAGCCUAGGUCGGAUUAGCUAGUUGGUGGGGUAAAGGCCUACCAAGGCGACGAUCCGUAACUGGUCUGAGAGGAUGAUCAGUCACACUGGAACUGAGACACGGUCCAGACUCCUACGGGAGGCAGCAGUGGGGAAUAUUGGACAAUGGGCGAAAGCCUGAUCCAGCCAUGCCGCGUGUGUGAAGAAGGUCUUCGGAUUGUAAAGCACUUUAAGUUGGGAGGAAGGGCAGUAAGUUAAUACCUUGCUGUUUUGACGGUACCAACAGAAUAAGCACCGGCUAACUUCGUG